AAGGCUGAGAAGAAGCUAAUCCAGCCAGCCCCGGAGGAAGUGUAGGCAGGAGACCAAAAUGGUGAGAUGGAUAAGGGUUUUUUGUUUGUUUGUUUUUAAUCAGAUCAUAGAUGGCACUAGUCUGGCUGACAUGGCAAUGUUCCAGCAUGGUAAUUGGAGAUAGGGGGUUGUUACCUGAUCUUUACCUGGAUUCCUUCAUCUUACCAAGUACCUUCAGGUUGGAGGUCUCAUUCUUCUCUCUAUAACCACAUUGUAUCAAAUAAUGGACUAUUCAAAGAAGAAUUUUACAGACAUCACAUGCUGAGCAGCCAUACCUAACAUGGAUAUAGUAG
rnacentral:lncRNA from 1 species